rnacentral:rRNA from 1 species
AUUGAACGCUGGCGGCAGGCCUAACACAUGCAAGUCGCACGAGUGGCGGACGGGUGAGUAAUGUCUGGGAAACUGCCUGAUGGAGGGGGAUAACUACUGGAAACGGUAGCUAAUACCGCAUACCAUCGGAUGUGCCCAGAUGGGAUUAGCUAGUAGGUGGGGUAAAGGCUCACCUAGGCGACGAUCCCUAGCUGGUCUGGGAGGAUGACCGGCGACACUGGAACUGAGAAACGGUCCAGAGUCCCACGAGAGGCAUCAGUGGGGAAUAUUGCACAAGGGGCGCAAGCCUGAUGCAGCAAUGCCGGGUGAAUUAAGAAGGCCUUCGGGUUGUAAAGUACUUUCAGCGGGGAGGCGUUACCCGCAGAAGAAGCACCGGCUAACGCCGUGCCAGCAGCCGCGGUAGUUC